UUGUGCUCUUCAGUGCUCUCAAUUGUUGUAGCAAGGGGGUCACUUGCGCUUCAGCCUGGUUGGUGCUCACGGAACAGGACGCAGAAGUCAAUGAGGAGAC